AGGCGGCCUGCGUCUGAUUAGCUGGUUGGUGGGUAACGGCCUACCAAGGCGAUGAUCAGUAGCUGGUCUGAGAGGAUGAUCAGCCACACGUGGGACUGAGACACGGCCCAGACUCCGUACGGGAGGCAGCAGGUGGGGAAUUAUUGGACAAGUGGGCGAAAGCCUGAUCCAGCAAUGCCGCGUGGAUGAAGAAGGUCUUCGGAUUGUAAAGUCCUUUCGGCGGGGACGAUGAUGACGGUACCCGCAGAAGAAGCCCCGGCUAACUUCGUGCCAGCAGCCGCGGUAAUACGAAGGGGGCUAGCGUUGCUCGGAAUUACUGGGCGUAAAGGGCGCGUAGGCGGACCACUCAGUCAGGCGUGAAAGCCCCGGGGCUCAACCUGGGAACUGCGCUUGAGACUUGUGGUCUUGAGGGCGAGAGAGGGUGGUGGAAUUUCACCUC
rnacentral:rRNA from 1 species